UACGUAGGAUGCAAGCGUUGUCCGGAUUUACUGGGCGUAAAGGGCGCGCAGGCGGCACUACAAGUACUGGGUGAAAUCUCCCUGCUCAACGGGGAGGGUGCUUAGUAGACUGUAGAGCUAGAGGUGGGUAGAGGGUGGUGGAAUUGCUGGUGUAGCGGUGAAAUGCGUAGAGAUCGGAAAGAACACCAACGGCGAAAGCACUCUGCUGGGGCCGACACUGACACUGAGAGACGAAAGCUAGGGGAGCGAAUGGG
rnacentral:rRNA from 1 species